GGGCCGCUAGCUCAAUGGUAGAGCAGCUGACUCUUAAUCAGCUGGUUAGAGGUUCGAGUCCUCUGCGGCUCA
rnacentral:tRNA from 1 species